CCAGACUCCUACGGGAGGCAGCAGUGGGGGAUAUUGCACAAUGGGGGGAACCCUGAUGCAGCGACGCCGCGUGGGUGAAGGAGUGCUUCGGCAUGUAAAGCCCUAUCGGCAGGGAAGAAGCAAGACGGUACCUGAGUAAGAAGCCCCGGCUAACUAUGUGCCAGCAGCCGCGGUAAUACAUAGGGGGCAAGCGUUAUCCGGAAUUAUUGGGUGUAAAGGGUGCGUAGACGGAAGAACAAGUUGGUUGUGAAAUCCCUCGGCUCAACUGAGGAACUGCAACCAAAACUAUUCUCCUUGAGUGUCGGAGAGGAAAGUGGAAUUCCUAGUGUAGCGGUGAAAUGCGUAGAUAUUAGGAGGAACACCAGUGGCGAAGGCGGCCUGCUGGGCUUUUACUGACGCUGAGGCUCGAAAGUGUGGGGAGCAAACAGGAUUAGAUACCCCAGUAU
rnacentral:rRNA from 1 species